GAUGAACGCUGGCGGCGUGCCUAAUACAUGCAAGUCGAGCGAACGGACGAGGAGCUUGCUUCUCUGAUGUUUGGGGCGGAGGGGAGUGUAACACGUGGAUAACCCACCUAUAUGUCUGGGAACACCUCGGGACACCGGCGCUAAUAGCGGAGAAUCUUUUGAACCGCAUGGUUCAAUAGUGAAAGACGGUCUUGCUGUCACUUAUAGAUGGAUCUGAGCUGCAUUAGCUAGUUGGUAGGGUAACGGGUUACCAAGGCAACGAGGCAUAACCGACAGGAGAGGGUGAUAGCCGACACUGGAACUGAGACACGGUCAAGACUACUGCGGGAGGCAGCAGUAGGGAAUCUUCCGCAAAGGGCGAAAGCCUGACGGAGCAACGCCGCGUGAGUGAUGAAGGUCUUCGGUUCGUAAAGCUCUGUUAUGAGGGAAGAACAUAUGUGUAAUUAGCUGAGCACAUCGUGACGGUACCGAAUCAGAAAGCCACGGCUAACUACGUG
rnacentral:rRNA from 1 species